UACGGAGGGAGCUAGCGUUGUUCGGAAUUACUGGGCGUAAAGCGCGCGUAGGCGGCUUUGUAAGUUAGAGGUGAAAGCCCGGGGCUCAACCCCGGAACUGCCUUUAAGACUGCAUCGCUUGAAUCCGGGAGAGGUGAGUGGAAUUCCGAGUGUAGAGGUGAAAUUCGUAGAUAUUCGGAAGAACACCAGUGGCGAAGGCGGCUCACUGGACCGGCAUUGACGCUGAGGUGCGAAAGCGUGGGGAUCAAACAGG
rnacentral:rRNA from 1 species